rnacentral:sRNA from 17 species
UUCGCUAUGCCCUAGCGAUCUGCUAAACACAUCCGCGCGCAGGUCCGGACUGCAUCCGGGCCCUCUCUUUCAAAGAGUGUCCCUGCGCG